GAAUGCCUACGGGGGGAGCAGUAGGGAAUUUUCGUCAAUGGGCGCAAGCCUGAACGAGCAAUGCCGCGUGAACGAGGAAGGUCUUCGGGUCGUAAAGGUCUGUUGAAGGGGAAAAAGAGCGGAGAGAGGAAAUGGUCUCCGAUUGAUAUUACCCUUCGAGGAAGUCACGGCUAACUACGUGCCAGCAGCCGCGGUAAUACGUAGGUGGCGAGCGUUAUCCGGAAUGAUUGGGCGUAAAGGGUGCGUAGGCUGCCUGCUAAGUCUGGAGUGAAAGG
rnacentral:rRNA from 1 species